rfam:Erysipelotrichaceae bacterium 3_1_53 genomic scaffold supercont1.5, whole genome shotgun sequence.
GGGGUGUUAGCUCAGCUGGGAGAGCACCUGCUUUGCACGCAGGGGGUCAUCGGUUCGAUCCCGAUACGCUCCA